ACUACUGUUCUCGAGGAAGAUGUAAAUCCCCCCAAGUCUAUUCUUGUCUAAUACCGGCUGUAGAGGCCCCUGAGCCAUAGCCUGGACCCUUCCCAACUUGAGUGAAGGUAUUUUAAUGGCAUUAAUGGUGAAAGAGAGGCAGACAGUCGAGGGGCAUUAAAGAUGAAAGGAGCCGCCUGUCAGACUGGUCUGGAUACUUUUCGAGGAGGCAGGAAGCACGGAGAGCUCGCACAGGGAGUGAAUUCAAUUUGAAUUUGAAACCGGGGCUGGGUGGCUGGCUGUGGUGUCCCCGGCCGGGGUGACUUCGGCCGGCGAAGUGACCACAGGAUACGAGCGAGCCGGGGUGGGAGCUUGUCGCGGCGCAGGGGCAGCAUCAGUUCGGGCAAAAGUGUCACGCCGUCCCCAGUUGGUGUCACGACGUCCCCGGUUGUCUGCCGGGAGUCCGAUGCGCCGACGAUUAUAAUUGUUAAUAAAUGGCUCUUAUGUGAACCAUCCAUUAUUUAGAUGCAUGCAU
rnacentral:lncRNA from 1 species